UACGGAGGGUGCAAGCGUUAUCCGGAAUCACUGGGUUUAAAGGGUGCGUAGGCGGAGAUUUAAGUCAGAGGUGAAAGGUGGUCGCUUAACGAUCAACUUGCCUUUGAAACUGAAUUUCUUGAAUUGGGUUGAGGUUAGCGGAAUGAGUCAUGUAGCGGUGAAAUGCAUAGAUAUGACUUAGAACACCAAUUGCGAAGGCA
rnacentral:rRNA from 1 species